UACAGUUGAAGCCCUCAGGAACUUUGGACAAUGGGAAUAGGGUUGAAAGCACCUCCCCAAACGUCUGUAAUCUUGGUGGGCUUACAGAGCCAUGUGUGUCUGCUGUAAGGGCAGACCAACAUGAUACUCCUACUUCUGAACUACCUCUCCAGCUGCCAGUGAGAAGUUGUGAUGACUGAAGUGAGGGAGUAGGGACGGGGCAAAAAAAAGAAAAGAAAAGAAAAGAAAGCACCUCCCCUCCCUAUCCCAAGACAGUGUUGUCUUUAGCAAGAGCUGUAU
ensembl:snoRNA